rnacentral:rRNA from 1 species
AUACGUAGGGUGCGAGCGUUGUCCGGAAUUACUGGGCGUAAAGAGCUCGUAGGUGGUUUGUCGCGUCGUCUGUGAAAUUCCGGGGCUUAACUCCGGGCGUGCAGGCGAUACGGGCAUAACUUGAGUACUGUAGGGGAGACUGGAAUUCCUGGUCUAGCGGUGAACUGCGCAGAUAUCAGGAGGAACCGCGGCGGCUAAGGGGGGUUUCUGGCCUGAAACUGACGUUGCCGGUCGAAGGCAUGGUUAGAAAGCCGGAGAAGAUACCCUGGUAGUCCGUGCUGUAACCGGUGGGCUCUAGGUCAAGGGGAAAUCCACGCCUUCGGUGCCUUAGCUAACGCAUAAAGCGCCCCGCCUGGGGAGUACGGCCGCAAGGCUAAAACUGAAAUGAAUUGAGGGGU